CUACGGGUGGCUCCAGUUAGGAAUAAUCUACAAUGCACGCAAGUGUGAUAGUUUGAGCCAGAGUGUCACCAUUAUGGUUGACUUUUGUGGAAUCUAAAAAUUUCUACGAAUAAGGACUGGGUAAGACGAGUGCCAGCCGCCGCGGUAAUACUCGCGGUCCAAGUCGCAGCCAUCUUUAUUGGGUCUAAAACAUCCGUAGCUUGCUUCGUAAGUUCCUUGUGAAAUCCGGCGUCUCAAGCGUCGGGCGUGCAGGGAGUACUGCGGAGCUAGAGACUGGAAGACGUAAGAAGUACGUUCAGAGUAGCGGUAAAAUGUGUUAAUCCUGGGCGGACUAACAACAGCGAAGGCAUCUUACGAGGACAGUUCUGACAGUAAGGGAUGAAGGCUAGGGGCGCGAAACGGAUUAGAUACCCCUGUAGUC
rnacentral:rRNA from 1 species